rnacentral:lncRNA from 1 species
AAAAUGGCAGAAAUGUAAAAGCUAAAAUCUGCUAGUUGCCCUACUUUCUUUUCCUAUAAAGACAUCUCUAUCUUGCUUUCCAACGAAGGGAAUUAGGAGAUAAAAUCUGAGAGAUUAGACCUUAAAGGGCUUUAGGAGAAAAAUUUCAGGAAAAAUAAAAAAUAACUGGAAAAUUUACUAAAAUCACUGUUUCAUUGAAAUUCAUUCUGUGAUUUCUCAAGUUUUCAAUUUCUGAAAUGAGUUCUGAUCUACCUGGGGAUGAAAUAGUUUGAGUUUGGUGGUUCAAAAGUUGGUUUGAAGUUUUGGUUGUUGAUUUUUGAUUGCUGCACAUCAGUCUUUGGUUUAAAGUUAGUUCUGAGGUUUAUUUCUCCUGCUGGCUACUGUUGUUGCUACUGAUCUUACCCAUUUUUUACUUUCAUUUUCAAGUAUUUCCUUAUUCCAGCAGCACUGAUUGAAUGUUGAUUAUGUAAAUAAAGUGGAAAGUGUUUGCCAUAGUUUCUCUCUGUUUCUCUCUUACUGUUUAAAUACCAUGUAGUAGACUUGUAAUGGUAGGUCUUAAAUGAGCCGGUACUGGUAUAUUAUAAAACUGGGUUUGUGUUUUAGUUAAUUGUCUAGUUUCAAUAUUAAAAAGCAUGUUUAGAAGGUGUAUGAGUAGGUUUGUAGACUAUUUGUAUGGCAAAUGAAUCAUGAGCCUCAACUAUUCAGUUUUAUUUUGAUUUUGUGUUCUUGGUCGCAUAUUUUUUGCUUAAGUUUCUACCGAAAAUCAGUAAGGUUUAGUUCAAAUGUUUAUCUGAAUCCAUUGAUGGUUAGGUGUUUGGUUUGUAUGUGUGUUGAUGUUGUUUUAUAAGCAUGUUUAUGCAUGAGCCUAUGGUUUGAGAUCAUGUUUGUUCAUUAGGCCCGUUUACAAAUUUCCAUUUAUCAUUCACACGGGUUAAGCCAAGGUUUGAAUGAAUUUGAAGUAGCCUGAGUGUUCUUGCGAAGUUAGUUAAAUCCGUGGUUCCAUCAUGUUUACUCAUGAGCCAUAAUGAACUAGUGAUUGUUUGAUUUAGGAACAUUUGGUCAAAUUAGUCCAUGUUAAGGCAAUUUGCACAUGUGGAAGUCAAAUGGGAAUUUGUGCAUACGUCUUUAGGCUCAGAUUCUAAUUGGUUUUGCCUUGUGUCAGUUUGUUGAAGAUAGGUGUUACUUCAGAUCCCUUUCUUCUUUUCUUUCACAAUAAAUUAAAUAAAAGUGAUAAAACAAGAUUUGGGUAACACCUAGUCCCACAUCUGGACCAGUUCCCUUUAAAAGAAACCCGUGAUUUUCAGACCAAUGCUAAGUUUAAAUCCCUUUCCCCAAGCCGUUUGGUAAAUAAGGCGUCAUGUAUACAUGGAUUGGAACAGUGCAAAUAGAAUACCAUUGGUUGGAAAUUCAUGUUUCUUUUAAAUGGAUCAUGAUUGUAGUUUAACUAGGGAGAACCAUAGUAGAUGAACGACUAGAUUAUGGCCCUCAACGUUUUGAUCGGAUUUUUAGAUCGGAGGUGAGCCAUACUAGCUAAUAAAUAGUUUAUGGCCCUCCGUAGUGUAAUUGGAAUUCCCUUUUAAGAAUUAAAAUCGGGAUGUUUCGUGCCAAAUGAAAUUUCAAAAUUGCAUGACAUUCGUUUAAUUAAUAUUUUUAUCCUUAGAAAUCAAAGAGUGCCAUUUAGCGAAUUUUCCAUGGCCCUCACAAAUUAAAAGAAGCAUAGUUUCUUUAGGCGCGUUAUUUAAUAAUAUUAUCUUCCUAAAUCGGGUGAGCAUUUAUGUGAUCCAAAUCCAAUAUGUUGCGGACCAGGGCUGCAUUUAUGUGACGUGUUUCAAGACGUAUUUUUGAUAACAUUGAAUGUCUCUUAAAAAUAUUAAUUGAACAAAAGUGGUUAUAAAGUUAAAAUUGCACGUAGGUCUAAAAAUUUUUAAAAUCAAGUACUAGGCCAAUUGUAGUAGUUGAGGACCGCGCUAGAACCACGGAACUUGGGAAUUCCGAACACCUUCACCCGAGUUAACAAAAUUCCUUAUCCAGAUUUCUGGUUUGCGGACCGUAAUACAGAGUAAAUCUUUUUUCGAUUCGGAAUUUGAACCGGUAACUUAGGACACCGUAAAUUAUCCCAAGUGACGACUCUAAUUCUUUAAUUGAAAUGAUUCUAUUUCGAUUGUCACUUUAAUUGGAAGAACUCCUUUAUGAUUUUCCAGGGGUGUAAGUAAAAAGGGUAGGUGUGACAAUAAUUUUGAACCCUUUUAUCUUAAAUUAUUUUGAACCUUCGUGCCACCCUUUCUUUCCAAUCCUGUCCAAAAGCUUACAUUAUAGUUCAAAGAAAGACCUUUCGACCAAUCAUUGAGGAUGCCAAAUCAAGCAUGCGGUAAAAGUAUGAUCUUCUAGCAUUAUGGGUAAUACCUUAUUCUCAGCAUAAAGAGAGAAAAUGAUAAAAUGAGAGAGUCUUAUCGGUAAAAACCCUCAUGGGCACUGUAAGGCGACGGUGAGUUGAGAAAAGAGCAAUAUGAGAGAGGCUUGAUGGUGAAAACCGUUCAGGGAACUAUAAGUCGUCUGAGGAUAGUGGAUCAAAUAGGACAAUUGGAGUACUGAAGAACAGUUUCAUAGCUUAGAGGCAUAACAGGAGUUGAAUAUUAGACUUGCUUAACAGAUUAGGUUACUUUAAUCCAAAUGCAUGUUAUAGUCAUUAGAGUUUGUAUCUAUAUCUAAAAAGUCUAUACUUGGUGAUUUUCUUGUUAGAUGUCAUCUCUUUCUGUUGUCCCCUUAACUCUGUUCUUCUUGCUUUGUUUAAGUUCUUUGGAGUCUGUUUUGUCAGAACAAGUAAAGAAAUAAUGUCAAAAUCUACUACCAGCUUUCCAAUUGCACAAGUCUGGCUAGCACAUCAAAGUGGCAUACGUCGGGAAAGAACAAUAUGCACACUGAGUUAGUAACAAUCAACAUGCUUUAGGAUUCAUGUGAAAUGCAAAGGUUUGGUAAAUGUCAAAUUCAUGAGCAAAAUGCAACAGAUAGAGGGUAUUGCGAUUGAAUAGAGAAUAGGUCUUUUUUGUGAUAAGGGUUGAAAGAAAACGGAUAGUCGGUAACAGUCAAGGUUGUCCAAGUUGAAAUCAAUGUUAUUUUGGAAAGUAUAGAAGUAGCUGCUCUCAAGGUCAAUGCCACAAACUAACCACCACGUUUUCAAAAUAACAAAAUUUUAUUCGUCUAAAAAAGGGGCAAGAAAAUUUGUUAAUCCACAGGGACUCUCCCAUGAAGAAGGCAUAACUUAGGGGGCAAGAAAUUCGGUUCAGAAUCCUCCAAGAAGAGAGCAUGGCUCAGGUAAGUUCAUUCUCGUCUUUUCAAGACCUUCAUGGAUAAUGAGAUUUAGUUUUCAAGUUUUUAGGACUCUUCUGGAUAAUGGAAUUUAGCUUUCAAAUUUUCAGGACCCUCAUAGAUAAUGAGACUUAGCUUUCAGGACCCUCAUGGAUAAUGUGAUUUAGUUUUAAGAUUUCAGGACAAUCAUGGGUAAUGGGAUUUAGUUUUUAAGUUUUCAGGACCAUCCUGGAUAAUGGUAUUUAAUUUGAAUUUUAGGACCCUCAAAGAUAAUGAGAUUUAAUUUUAGAAAUUUUCAGGACCCUCUUGGAUAAUGAGAUCUAGCUAAAAUUCAAGACCUUCAAAGAUAACAAGAGUUAGCGUAAGCUCUACCUUUAGGAAAUAUAAUUUAGAUUUAAACUUGUUACUCUUGAGCUGAGAUUUAAUUUGAACUUUUCAGGGCCCUUCUGGAUAAGGAGAUUUAGCGUUUAAAUUAUUAGAUCUCUUUUAGGUAACAUGAUUCGAUUAACUAUCACAGAUGUGCCCAGAUACAAAACUGGGACAGAAAAAUUUCUUUCGUUUUUCGUCUGUUUUGUUGUAAUGUCAGGCACCCACCUGGAUAACAAGGUAAUACAAUUCAAGUUAGGCAAUCAGGUGUCCACCUGGAUAACAAGGAAAUACAAUUCAGGAUUUUGGCAAUCAGGCACCUGCCUGGAUAACAAAGGAAUACAAUUCAUGUAUUUGGCAAUCAUGCACCCACCUAGAUAAUGAGGGAAUACAGUUCAAGUUUUGGCAAUCAAGCGCCCACAUGGAGAACAAGGGAAUACAGUUUAAGUUUUUGGCAAUCAGGUGCCCACCUAGAGAACAAGGGAAUACAGUUCAAUUUUUGGCAAUUAGAUGCCCACCUGGAGAACAAGGGAUUACAGUUCAAGUUUUGGCAAUCAAGCGCCCACAUGGAGAAUAAGGGAAUACAAUUCAAGUUUUAGCAAUCAGGCACCCACCUGGAGAAUAAGGGAAUAUAGUUCAAGUUUUGGCAAUCAGGCGCCCACCUGGAGAACAAGGGAAUACAGUUCAAGUUCUGCCAAUUAGACACCCACCUAGAGAACAAGAAAAUACAGUUCAACUUUUGACAAUCAGGCGCCCACCUGGAGAAAAAGGGAAUACAAAUCAAGUUUGGCAAUCAGGUACCCACCUGGAGAACAAGGGAAUACAAUUCAAGUUUUGAAAAGUAGGAGCCUAACAUGGAUAACAAGGUCAUAUAGUUUAAGUUUUGAAAAUCAGGCACCCACUUGGAGAACAAGGGAAUAUAAUUCAGGUUUGGCAAUCAAACACCCAUCCGGAGAAUAAUGAAAUACAGUUCAAGUUUUGGAAAUCAGGCGCCCACUUGGAUAACAAGGGAAUACAGUUCAAAUUUUGGAAAUUAGGCACCCACCCGGAGAACAAGAAAAUAUAGUUCAAGUUUUGGCAAUCAGGCGCCCACCUUGAGAACAAGGGAAAAUAGUUCAAGUUUUAGCAAUCAGGCACCCACCUGGAGAACAAGGAAACACAGUUCAAGUUUUUGGCAAUUAGGCAUCCACCUGGAGAAUAAGGGAACACAGUUCAAGUUUUUGGCAAUCAGGCGCGCACCUGGAGAACAAGGGAAUACAAUUCAAGUUUUUGGCAAUCAGGCACCCAUCUGGAGAAUAAGAAAAUACAUUUCAAGUUUUGGCAAUUUGGCACCCACCUAGAGAACAAAGGAAUACAGUUCAAGUUCUUGGCAAUCAGGAAUCCACCUGGAGAACAAGGAAAUACAGUUCAAGUUUUGGGAAUCAGAAACCCACCUGGAGAACAAGGGAACACAGUUCAAGUUUUUGGCAAUCAGGCACCCACCUGGAAAACAAGGGUGCACAGUUCAAGUUUUUGGAAAUCAGGCACCCACCUGAAAAACAAGGGAAUGCAAUUCAAGUUUUUUGCAAUCAAGCACUCACCCGAAGAACAAGGAAAUACAGUUCUAGCUUUGACAAUCAGGCACCCACCUAGAGAACAAGGAAAAGCAGUUCAAGAUUUUGGCAAUUAGGCACCUACCUGGAGAACAAGGGAACACAGUUCAAGUUUUUUGUAAUUAGGCGUCCAACUGGAGAAUAAGGGAAUACAUUUCAAGUUUUGGCAAUCAGGCGCCCACUUUGGGACUGAGGAAUUCAUUUCCGAGUUACUUUCAAUUCGCAAACUCAAGAAGUAUCAACAGCCCGCCUGAAGAACAGAGCCCAUUUUUCAGUUUCUAGUUGGAGAUCAAGUAAAGAUUCACAGAAGAUUCAAGAUGAGAAGUAGAUCGGAUCAUGUAUUUUUCUAGUACUUUUAAUGUAAAUAUUCCUUUAAUUUCGAUGCAAUGGCAGGAACCGCGGACUGGAACUUCAACAGCACUUUACUCAGCUCUCCAACUCGGUAUACUCCAUCACCUCAUUUACUUGUGAACUACACGUGGCCUGAUUCCUUCAUAGCCAAGGAUAUCUAGGCAGCUCGGAUACUAUGGCUCUGUCAUAUUCUCUUUUCUUUUAGUUUUUGUCUCUAUAAAUAAGGGUUGGGUCAAAUAAUCUAUCUAAUCGUCUUUUUCUGAAAAUACGUCGUAUUUCUAGUCAUAGAGGGGCAGUUGUAGAUAUGUAAUUUUUUAUCAUCCCUAAGAUUUUACACUUUUUCGAUUUUAGAUAUUUAGCUUAGGACUAAUACUGCUAUUUUACCUAGUUUUAAUUAUUUUUCUUUAUUUUAAGAACAAAAAUUUAAAAAUUACAAAAAUAGUUCCAUAUUUCUCUACUUAAUUCAUGUAUUAGAUAUUUUUAGAAAGAUAUACUUCUUUGCACUUAUUUUAUUUUAAUCUAAUCUUUAAAAAUACCAAAAAUAGUUUUAACUUUAAUUUGUAGUUUUAUUUUAAUAUAAUAGUUUAUUAAAAUCAAUUGAGAGUUAAUUUAUACCUUGUUAUAAGUAUAUAUAUAUAUAUAUAUAUAUAAAGCAAAUUAAAUUUUCAGCUCAUUUAGGUUGUCUAGCCCAUAGAAUUUGAACCCAAAAAAUAAUUGGCCCAAUUGAUCCACUAACCCUAACCUUGUCUUCUUCUUCCUUACAAAAAAGACUUACAAUACGGACAAGGGCAUCGGUUGCCCACCUUCUUCUUUAGGGAGAUGAGAAUCCAAAAACCCUAGCUGAACCCUAGGAAAGACCUAACCCUAGGCCCAGCCGAAACCCUUCUCCAAGCACACCCCAGAACCCCUGCUUCUGAACAACCAAACGACCCACCUCAUCUCUAGCCACCAAGUCGUUGGAAAACGCGUCUCACAACAGCCACCAUUAGCACCGCCAGCCUCUUACUUACCACCUAUCACCCAAAGCAACAACUAAAAAACUAACCUUCAGCACAACCACCCGUCUUCUCCCUCUCCAAUACCAUCGACACCGUCGGAUCUUCAUCACCGGCUGUCCGAAAAAUGAGAUCCAAACACCCCACUACUCCUCCUAACUUUUUUUAGCCAUAGCAGCUGCCCACCACCAACCCUCAACCGAUGAAUUCCCCUUCACCACAAUAACUAAUGAGCCUCUCUUCUGAACAACCAAGAAAAACCGCCCAAAGUCCACCCUAAGACGCUAGGAACACACAUACAUAGUCAUAAGUAGAAGGACGGGCAAGAUCGAAGGGGAAAAAAAUAAAAAAAAAAACUAGUUUUCUGCUUCUUAAAUCUAGAAAAAUAUGCCCCCGUCUAUGAUUUUUUAUCUUCUCAUGGAGUUGAAUUGAUUUCGAGAUUGGAGUUCCGUCAAGGUUGAUGUCGAUUCGAGUUUCCAUCCACGUUUCGUUACAUUUUGAGCUCAAAACAGUGAUACAAUUUUCUUUCAGCUAUAUUUGAGGUCUACUCUUCCCUUUCCUUAUUGUUCUUUUACUUAAUAUCAUGACAUUGAUAAUACCGUUAAUUUGUUGUUACUGUAUGUUUGUUAUUGAGAUGGAUUGGUCUGCCUGUUGUUUUCAUUAAAUUGGUGGUUGAAUUGUUUUUGUAGUAUUGGCAGCCUAAACUAAAAUGGGAUUACUAAGUAAGAACUCCACUUGGAUCUUGUUGACUUUGAAAUAGUGAACGGGGUCGCUGUGUUAGUUUUCAAGGGGAUGAGAAUCCUGUUAAUUGAAAUUAAAUAAAAUUUGGGUUUUGGUUGUAGUUUAUGCGUGAAAUCGGGCUUUAAAACUAAGUUUAGUUAUGCUUUAUUUGUUUGAAUCACUAGGAGUAUGUUUUAGGCCGACCACGCUCAGGUACGCAAGCUUUAGGAUUUUUGUUAUUUUGAGGUGAGAGGCCGUUCCCUUAGUUUAAUUUAUACGAGGAAUGCCAAAAGGGAUUUGAUAUAUUUUAUUCCGGAGAAUACCCCGUAGUAUUCUAUAAAUGAAGGCCAAAUAUAGAACGAUUCGAGUAAACAUACAAUAGUAUUCUAUUUUUUCUCUUAUUUUUAUUUUAUUAAGUGGGGACGACCUCGACCUUCUUGUGUGUUUUUUUUUUUGUAAUUAUUUUAACCCAACUUAAAUAUUUUAAAAUCUGGGUAGAUCAAGUAUGCAACCGUACUAGUUAUGAGACUUGGGGAGUUCAUAACACAUUCUUCCCGAGUCAAAUGAACCCCCUUACACGAAUCUCUUGUGCAGACUUAGUUUUGGAGUCCAAAGUGUUUUAAAAGGAAUAUCAUUUUUAAAAACAAAAUAGUGACCUGGCACACCAAAAUCAAAUGUCAGGUGGUGACUUUGAGUUAAUCCUUUUGAAUACAUUUUUUUGUCACGUUCUAAUUGAAAAUCCUUUCAAGAUUUAAAAAUCCUUUUAUUAAUAUAAGAGGAUUAAUUGGUGAAAAAAAUGGUGUGACACAUAGCACUGAAGGAAAACAUGACCAGGCUGAGGGAAGCAGAGCUUGUAUGGAAUGUUGUUAUGUUGUCAAGACAAAGAGUGAUUAUUUGUCACGACCCCAAACCGGCCAGGUCGUGAUGGCGCCUCUUAUGAAGACGAGGGCAGCCAAUACAACACUCACAUUAACCUCUUAAGCGUUAAGAGUCAUUUUUAAAAAUUAAACAAUAUUUCAUAAAUACAAAUCUGAAUAAAAUGCAGAAAUAACAUACAAGCCUGACAUCGGGGUGUCACUAGUCAUGAGCAUCUAUUAAGGUCUGAAUAUAAAAAAAAAGUUUAAGAUAAUGCUGAGCACAGUAAUAGCAAUGUGAGGAAGGAAGCGGUACUGCGAACGUCAUGCAGCCACCUGCUGACUCUGAUGACUCCGCGUUUGAGAAAAUCAACACCCGCUAUUGGGUUUUGAUAUAGCUGUAUUUGCACAUGAGGUACAGAGAGUAAUGUGAGUACUCCAACUAAAUUAGUAAUGAGUAAAUAAAGACUAAGCAGUAGGAAACAAUGAGUCCAUAUUCUAAUUAGGCUCAAUAAGCACAACAGGCUUCCAAAUCAUAAUACGAGUCAACCUUCCCUUUUAAAAUCCAGCUUAUGGUAACAAUCAUUUUUGCAGCACUUUCCAGCAAUCUCGGUGGGGUUCAAUUCCAUUUAAAAUGAUAAUAGAGAUUAAAAACAUAAUAGGCCCCUCGGGCAAAACUUAGUUCGUAAAAUAGCCCCUCGGGCAAAAAAAUAAUCAUAAACACUUCAUAACUUGAAAUCUCGGUGGAAAUAGCCAAAUGCCAAAUUAGUUAUUAAUUUAUGAACAUCUUCUAAAACCCAGUAUAAAUAGAAGUUGUUUUAAAA